GACGGAGGAUGCAAGUGUUAUCCGGAAUCACUGGGCGUAAAGCGUCUGUAGGGGGUCAAAUAAGUCAACUGUUAAAUCUUGAGGCUCAACCUCAAAAUCGCAGUCGAAACUAUUAGACUAGAGUAUAGUAGGGGUAAAGGGAAUUUCCAGUGGAGCGGUGAAAUGCGUAGAGAUUGGAAAGAACACCGAUGGCGAAGGCACUUUACUGGGCUAUUACUAACACUCAGAGACGAAAGCUAGGGUAGCAAAUGGG
rnacentral:rRNA from 1 species